CUGUUCGCCGGUUAAAGAGGUACGUGAGCUGGGUUCAGAACGUCGUGAGACAGUUCGGUUUAUAUCCGCUGUGGACGCAAGGAAAUUUGAGAAGAUUUGACCCUAGUACGAGAGGACCGGGUUGAACACACCGCUGGUGUACCAAUUGUCCUACCAAGGGCAUGGUUGGGUAGCUAUGUGUGGUAUAGAUAAGCGCUGAAAGCAUAUUAAGCGCGAAACUGACUUCAAGAUAAGAUUUCCCUAUGAGACCCCAGAAAGACUAUCUGGUUGAUAGGCGCAAGGUGGAAGUGCGGUAACGCAUGUAGCCAAAGCGUACUAAUAGGUCCAUCGACUUUUUAUG
rnacentral:rRNA from 1 species